GGGCGGGUAGCUUAGUCUGGUUGGAGCGCCCGAGUUGAGACCGGGAGGUCGUGGGUUCAAAUCCCACCUCGCCCA
rnacentral:tRNA from 1 species